rnacentral:rRNA from 1 species
AUUGAACGCUGGCGGCAGGCCUAACACAUGCAAGUCGAACGGUAGCACAGAGGAGCUUGCUCCUUGGGUGACGAGUGGCGGACGGGUGAGUAAUGUCUGGGAAACUGCCCGAUGGAGGGGGAUAACUACUGGAAACGGUAGCUAAUACCGUAUAACGUCUUCGGACCAAAGUGGGGGACCUUCGGGCCUCACACCAUCGGAUGUGCCCAGAUGGGAUUAGCUAGUAGGUGGGGUAAUGGCUCACCUAGGCGACGAUCCCUAGCUGGUCUGAGGGGAUGACCAGCCACACUGGAACUGAGACACGGUCCAGACUCCUACGGGAGGCAGCAGUGGGGAAUAUUGCACAAUGGGCGCAAGCCUGAUGCAGCCAUGCCGCGUGUAUGAAGAAGGCCUUCGGGUUGUAAAGUACUUUCAGCGGGGAGGAAGGCGUUAAGGUUAAUAACCUUGGCGAUUGACGUUACCCGCAGAAGAAGCACCGGCUAACUCCGUGCCAGCCGCCGCAGUAA